GUGUCAGCAGCCGCGGUAAGACGAACCACACAAACGUUAUUCGGAAUUACUGGGCUUAAAGGGUGCGUAGGCUGUGCGGAAAGUUGGGUGUGAAAGCCCCCGGCUCAACCGGGGAAUUGCGCCCAAAACUACCGUGCUGGAGGAAGACAGAGGUGAGCGGAACUUCGGGUGGAGCGGUGAAAUGCGUUGAUAUCCGAAGGAACACCGGUGGCGAAAGCGGCUCACUGGGUCUUUUCUGACGCUGAUGCACGAAAGCUAGGGGAGCAAACGGGAUUAGAUACCCCGGUAGUCCUAGCUGUAAACGAUGAGCACUGGGUUGAAGGGUCCUCCAUAGCCUUUCAGCCGCAGCAAAAGUGUUAAGUGCUCCGCCUGGGGAGUAUGGUCGCAAGGCUGAA
rnacentral:rRNA from 1 species